UCCCUGGUGGCUCAGAGGUUAAAGCACCUGCCUCCAAUGCAGGAGACCUGGAUUUGAUCCCUGGGUCGGGAA
rnacentral:tRNA from 1 species